ensembl:lncRNA
AACAGCCCUACAUGGCUUUGCCUCAUUAGGUCAGCAACACCCGCCAUCAACACCACAGCUGGCUUCUGUGAUAUUAGUAAAGGAACUGUAAAUACACGCACACAGGCUUGUAGCAUCAGCCCCAAAUGAAGACAUAAGAUCAGAGAAUGGUUGGGAGGAGGUUAGAAGCAGUAACAUGGAUUGUAGUAAGAACAUGGGUCAUCUUGGCAUGUCGAAAUUGACCACCACACAUCGAAGGGACAUUGGUAGCAGUGCCUCAACUUCUGGAGGCAGCCCAAGCCUCUGCUUCAUAGCACAAAGUACGAAUGGUGAAAAUACAUCUCAAUUUUGACUGAGAAUGAAGAAGUCCGACCGCUCUACUAAGUAGCAUCACAUGAGAUACCUCUAUCUCUCAGAACUUUUCCAAUGCUCAUCAUGUUUUUAAGCACUGAUCAGUGAAAAACACUGAAGUCCAUUUUUUCUAGAACCUGAUCACCACCUGUCUGAAUGAAGAAACAGAGGGCUGUGUGAAAGUAAUGCCUUUGGCAACACAUACAUCGCUAAGAUCAUCUCACAUCUUCAUCUUAUCAUGUAAAGGUUUUUUCAAGCUUUGAGAACAGUGAAAACCUCAUUACGAGCUGAAAACUGAUUCGGAUUUCAAUGUUGACAAUGAAAAUAUUGUUUAUGGAAUUGCUGAAUACUCAGAUAAUGUCUAUAAAGCAACAGCCUACUCGACCAACUGUAGGCCAAGGGUAAAGGAGUAAUAUAAUUACGUCAUUCUUCACUUAUUACGGCCUUUUCCCUCUAUGUGCAUACCGAGAGAGAAGGAAAGAACUGUGAGAUGUGGUUGCUUCUGUCAUCUCCCCACUUGAUUUCAGAACACAUGUGGGUUUCCUUUUUCUCAUGUAUCAUUUGGUGGUAUUCAAAAGAUAUAAUAGGCAGUGCAGAAGAUGUGAUCGAAGGAGUAUUCCUAGUCAGCCUUUACGUUCUUGUAAUGAAAGAUGUGAAGAACCACCAGAGAAUGAAGGAAAAGCUUCCUUGGACAUUAAUAGGUUGACUGCUAUGUCGCUGAACUUGGUGCAUGAAAGGUCAGCCUUUGAAACGCUAAAUAAGUUGAAGAAGAUGUAUGAAGUAUAUACGGAAAAGUAUGCAUCCUACAGUAGCAUUUGUAUUAAAGGACCGCUUUGUGGGAGGAUUAACUCUGAUGGAGGACAGAGCAACCAGCCACCAGUAUCCUUCAUGGCAGAGUCAGGCCUCCUGUGUCCCUGGGAAAUGCCACCUGAAAUAUCCCCCUGCACACCAGCCUUUAAAAGGGAAUUUUGCAGUGUCACAGUAGCUGAGAGCAGAUCUCUCCCUACUUUGGUAGCCGUAACAGACUCAGGAGUUUAUGCUCCUGAGCACUCUCCUGCAGAAUGAGCUACGUGCUGCCUGGAGCUAUGAAGAGUCCAGAGAAGACAUAAGGUAACUACGGAGCGGCUUCCUCAGGAGUGGUUUGUGUCUCUAUUGAAGUACUUCAGGAUGACAGAAGAGACUUUCAAUCGUACCAGCUGCAAUAACUGACGUCUUCACUUCUAAGAGGCCCGCUCAGUUCAUCAUACCCAGUCAGCAUUGGGAUGAAGGAGGACGGCACUGUCAUGAUGAGAACACUGUGAAGGAGGAUGGCACUGUCAUGAUGAGAACACUGUGUCCUUAGAAGAUGAAGCCUUCAACACUGAACCUUAAAACCAAGCCAUCCAGCUCCUGCCAGGUCCUUGUGGUUGCCUGUGGCUCCAUGGAACUGCCACAUCAAGUAAUGAACCUCAAGGUGAACCAAACCAGGAUACCACACACAUCACACCAGCCCUCCUUUGGGAAAUGCAGACCUGUCCCAGGAGUUUCAGGCAUCCUGUGUUCAUCCUGCAUCGCCUCGUUGAAGAAGUAAAACUACCUGCUGCUGAGAACUCUGAAAAGGAGCUGCAAACGUCGAGGUUCAGAGGAACCAGGAAUCCUGGCCUGCCAUCCGUACAGCCUGCUGACCUCCAGGUGGAUGUGUGAAGCAAGGAGCUGUGCCCUGGAAGCCCCAGAUGAGUGUGUGGGUCAUGUGCUGCAAGCUCCCAGAAUGCAGGUUUCCAGCCAGAGGUGCUCCGAUGCACACCUUAGACAGAUGCCCUAAGUAAACAGCAGAGAUCGCCGCCUGUGAAACGAUACGACAGAGAUUUGCCUAACCAGACACAUUCCUGAAUAAUUCCAUCAAGUCACCAGGAGCUUUUCUAUCAUCUAUGGCAAUUUUCCACCAUCGAUGCAUUUGCCUUUUAACAUUUGAAUAAACUGUCAAAGCACAGCCUGCCUCUGCUAGCCAACCCUGCACGCAUGUGAAAUGAAAGAGGGAAAGGCGGGCUUUUACUGAUUCAGACAGAAUUAACUGUUCAAAUACCAGAAGUGAGCUGGGCAGCAUCGCAUGGAGCUUCACACAACCCACAUCCACCACAGAUCUCUGCAGUCAGGUGCCUGACCUGGUGCCCAGCAGAGCAGCACGCAUGGCUUUGUGCAGUGCACACAGUGCCAUACAGGUCAGUCCCUGCUGCUGAUCCUCCUCCACGUGGUACCCACACAGCCAGCUUGCACCUGGUUGCACCGACACUCUGCUUGCCCUGUAGCACUUCACUACCUAUUUAUGUCUCUGACUUUCAUUUUCUAUCUAUCUCAAACAAAUGAUUUUUCAUUUCAUUUUUUUUCCCUUGUAAAACGCAGCUCUUAGAAAGCAGGAAGAAGGAGUUUGUUUCUUCUGAAAGUCAGUCAGCUUCAAGGGGUCUUCAGAAGCCAAAGGUGAUAUGAACCCACGACAGCGCUUGGUGUGAAUGGGUACGGUUGAAGCGUCACCACAACACACACAUUCCUGUUUGCAAGAAUGCUCUAACAAAAGAUGAGUUCAGAUCCAGACUUGCACUUCCUUUCAGCAUGAGGUUUUCUGGUAAUCAUAGUGAGGAGCUACAUCCAAGCACUCAGUGCAGGAGCCUUGACAGUUUGGUUCUCGGCCACCAAUGGAGUGCAACACACACUACCCUUGGCAGUCCUACUGUCACUUGUGAUUUUCCAUUUCCAGACACAGUCUUGUGUUAAGAUUGGUCUUUUGCCCUUCAGGAGGAUUGUGCUUUGUUUGAAAGGCUGCAUGAAGAAACACCUGUCAAGAUAAAAUCUGCGCCUUGAUAGAGUCCUGGGCCAGUACAACAGUAGCUGCUUUUCUAAAUGGACCACGUACAGUAUGGCUCUUAAAAAUACGCUCAAUGGUAUUCAUACCUUGGCAGUGGUGACAUAUCAAACUGUGUUUGCAGCAGCAUUCGGAAAAGAAUCUCCGGCUCUUUGCAGUCUCCUAUGUGUAAAUGUCACUUAAUUGUCUAAGAAAAAUUUGGCUGACCUUUCAAUUACUAGUAAUGGAAUAAAAGCAGUAGAAGACUGUAUGUGACAGCAAGUGUCAGCAAUACCCAGUUGUCGCCUUCCUGUGCUGACUGGGAGCACUACAGAGAAUUCACACUCCAUCGCAGGACCGCAUUUUUGGCAGAACACUGAUAAAGGAACUCACUGGUAAAAGGAUAGGAACUAGAAAAGAAGGGAGUUGUCCCUCAUCCUUCCCUAUCCUGACUCCACAAACAAAUCCAGAAAGAGGAUUUUUGAAUAUCUGUAAAAAGGCCCUACAUUCUGAGAGCUUUUGUGGAACUUAAUACCUUCUUUCAGCAGGAAACACUGCAAAGUUGAGACUAUUUUGCAGAUAAAGGUCUGACUGAGUACACGGACAAACCUCCCCAGCCAUGCAGAAUUAAUGCCACUAUGAAAUUUACGUGGUACUUUUGAGUUCUGGGCCAGUAUAUGUAGUUUAUACAACUGUUUACACAGCUG